UACGGAGGGGGCUAGCGUUAUUCGGAAUUACUGGGCGUAAAGGGCGCGUAGGCGGUUCUGCUAGUCAGAUGUGAAAGCCCUGGGCUCAACCGAGGAGUUGCAGUUGAAACUGCCGGACUAGAGUGCAGGAGAGGGUGGCGGAAUUCCUGGUGUAGAGGUGAAAUGCGUAGAUAUCAGGAGGAACACCGGUAGCGAAGGCGGUUCUCUGGACCGUAUCUGACGAUGAGGCGCGAAAGCGUGGGGAGCAAACAGG
rnacentral:rRNA from 1 species